UACGUAGGGGGCUAGCGUUGUCCGGAAUCAUUGGGCGUAAAGAGCGCGUAGGCGGCCCUGUAAGUCCGCUGUGAAAGUCAAGGGCUCAACCCUUGAAUGCCGGUGGAUACUGCAGGGCUAGAGUCCGGAAGAGGCGAGUGGAAUUCCUGGUGUAGCGGUGAAAUGCGUAGAUAUCCGGAGGAACACCGGUGGCGAAGGCGGCUUCCUGGACCGACACUGACGCUGAGGCGCGAAAGCUAGGGGAGCAAACGGG
rnacentral:rRNA from 1 species